ACUGAAUGAUACCCUGGCUUUUGAGCACAAGUCAGGUUCACAACAGAGUCUUUCAGAACCAAGGUGGGGUCGGAGGAGUAGGCAGGAGCCUCUGUCUCCCUACAGUAGCCCCAGAGUCGGGGCCAGAAAACUUGGAACGUGAGACCUCCCACUACACUUGAAGGCUCAAAACGAAGGUUUUGUCUUUGGUGUCUUUCCAUUCUCCAUCUCGGCAAGCUUCAAAUCCAGCUAGGAGGCUGACGCUGUUGGAGGCUGAUAAUGAAUUUUUACCGAGGAGAGGAGCUGCUGCCAGGAGUGAUAACACGCUUGAAUGACGAGCAGUUCAGCUCCGGAGCCUUUUGAAACCGUCCACUGAUACAGCCUUGGGGCAGAACAGAGGUGGCCUGAGAGACUCAGCGUGCCUGGAGACGGAGCAGGGAGCAACUGGACCCGGCUGUGGUUGACUGGGAGGGUGACGGUGGCAGACACAGAAGCCAGCACAUAAGCACAUAGUUUCUGGGAGAAACCUGGUGAGCCUGUGAUAUGCAGAUGAAGUGUCUCUGGGGACAAAGGCUGUGAUCUGAGAUCAGAAGUUCUCAUGUUCUGGGUAGUGCAAGAAAGUUGAAUGCCAUGUUCCCAGCACAUGUUUGCUGUCCUGAAGUCCCUGUCAGCCUAGCCUGCAGGACUGUCUUCCACCCAAUGACGUGAUACCUUGUGGUUAAAUGUCAUCGUCACUUGUCUAGAUUCUGUACCGCCAUCAACACACACCUCUGGGCUUCUAGAAAGAUUUUACCGAAGAGAAAGUACUCAGCCUCAGGUAUUCUGCUACGGAACAGAAAACGGUAGACAUGGAACUCCUAGUAGUAAACAAUGCAUGGAAACAGAGUAAGCUACAAAGCUUCAGCCAGGACCCGUGGAUGUUUCCAGCAGAAGUGACAAGACAGGAACCAUUUCCUGUGGCAACUCUGUCCUGGGAGCCAUACACACCGCUUCAGUUGCUUUAUUAAGACAGAUUGUGGAGACUACGGAAGCUGAGAGAGGCCUGUCCAUAAAUGAUCUUUCUGAUAAACAUCCAUAUCACCUGGGAACAUGUCAGGUUUGAGAAGCACUGGUUUAGAAAUCAGGGAGUGGGGAAGGAGGAUGACGAACAGCCCAGGAGGAGGAAGACCAGAAGGCAUGGUGGAAAUCCAGCCAACAACGACUUAGAAGUAGAAGAGGCCCCCACGGUGUGCCCUGCACCCUGGAACCAUGGGAUUUACACACUGUUCCCAAGAUGGGGAAAAUCCGGAGGAGAGGGACCUAGAGGACCAGAGCCUCUGAGCACGUGGGGGAAGGUGAGAUGGAGCGGCAGGAAAUAGCCAGGAACGUCCACCCUGGUGCUCCCUCCACAGUCAUAGGCAGGAAGAAGAUGACGUGGACCCGAGGCACAGGCAGGCCGGUAAGGAUUCAGAGGAGAGGGGGAAAGUCUGCCAACGAAGUCUUGGUUUGGUUUUUCCAGCUUUGCUAAACCAGUUAAGAAGUAGGGUAGUGAACUGGGGAUGAGGAUGGAGAAGGAAUAUGGUGGUCUAGGACGGAGGGGAAUGAAGAGGCAGUGAGGACAGGGGCCCUGGAGCACAGAGGGUCCGCUUCAGCUGUGAUGAUCUUAGCAAACAUUGAAUGGCGUAUUUCUUUGUUCAAGGAAAUCUUUUCUGAAAAAAAAAAA